rnacentral:rRNA from 1 species
GGGGAAUAUUGGACAAUGGGCGAAAGCCUGAUCCAGCCAUGCCGCGUGAGUGAUGAAGGCCUUCGGGUCGUAAAGCUCUGUGGGGAGGGACGAAAAAGCGUGACCUAAUACGUCUCGCCUUGACGGUACCUCCUUAGCAAGCACCGGCUAACUCCGUGCCAGCAGCCGCGGUAAUACGGAGGGUGCAAACGUUGCUCGGAAUUAUUGGGCGUAAAGCGCACGUAGGCGGUCCGCUAAGUCGGAUGUGAAAGCCCUCGGCUUAACCGAGGAAGUGCAUCCGAAACUGACGGGCUAGAGUACGGAAGAGGGUUUCGGAAUUCCCGGUGUAGAGGUGAAAUUCGUAGAUAUCGGGAGGAACACCAGUGGCGAAGGCGGAAACCUGGGCCGAUACUGACGCUGAGGUGCGAAAGCGUGGGGAGCAAAC